UUUGUUCUGCUCCUAGAACUGUGUACCUCUUGCUCCGCGUCUUUUGAAAAGAAUCUGAGAAUGAGUGCUGAGAACUGCUCCACCUAGCCACGACUGCAGAGACCAACGUGAGAAUGACUGGAUCGACACAGCAGUUCCACCAAAGAAAUUUUGUAAGCCACUAGAAUUUGAAAAUUAACUCUACCGAAAAAUCAUAUAGACAGAAUCGGCCUGGACUUAAAUGUCAGCGUCUUGUGGCACAGACUGUUUUGGAAAUUCCGGAUGGCAUCUUAAUAUCAGCAUUUAAAAAUUCGGAUGCUGAGAAAAGCUCUACAAAUGUAUCGCGUAACUUUCAGAAACCAUCUCCUCUGACUCCAGAAGUGAAUGGAGAGCCAUUACAGCAGUAAAUACUGGAAACUGCUACUGAGGAACCGUAGACCAGAGGAGCAGGACUGCCACUCUUCAGUGAUGAACAUUUCGAGCCACAUCUGUGCAGCUGACCUAUCCUGCAGAAGAGCCGAUCCUCCCCGUGACCACGUUCCAGGUGAUCCUCAUUGACAUCUUAAGGUAGAGUUCUGCUGUAAUUUCUAUACAAUCUCAUAACUCAUACAGAAUAGAAUCUACUGUUUCCAGAUUGCAGCAAUGCUUGAUUUUGAUUUAAAAAAAAAAAAAAAAGGAACCGCAAGGAUAAAAGAUUGGAGGCAGUCCAAAGACCCAUUUCCAAAGUCCCAGUUGAAGUGGAGGUCAAGAACUACAGUGCAGCACCAGUCACUGUCAACCAGGUGUCCACAGGUAAGAACUGCUAUUACAUAAACAGGCCAACUGAGCGCUUUGCUUAAAUGGACAGGAGUGAUCCCACGGACAGUUCACCUCCGAGAAUUACUAUGUAAUUGUCCCCUACUGAGAGAUGGGAUCCUGACAGGAGCAGACACUAAAGCACAGUCUUGCCAUCAGUGCCCUCACAGGGCAGAGCCAUCUCUUUUCUGCAGCACAAGCAUUAUUACCCAAGCAUUUUCAUCAACAAAAGUAGUCUGUGUGCGGAGAGUGAUGGGGCAUGCCUCAGCAUCCAGGAGACUGAGCAAGAAGAUCCAGAGUUUAAGGCUAGCCUCAACUACAAAGUGAAAUGCUAACAAAACAACAACAACAAAAGCAAUCAAAGUGCUUCUUUUCAGACAAGUCAUUGUUUUUCUUUCUUCCCUUUUCCUUUUGUGGUGCUGAGGUGUAGUCGUGAGGCCUUUUCUGUGCUAGGCAGGUGACCCAUAGUGAGCCACAUCCUGAGCCUUUAUUUUUCCUUGAGACAGGGUAUUGCUGUGUAGCAUAGGCUGGCCUCAUAUUUAUAAUCCAUCUGUCUCUGCCUCCUGAAUACUGAUUACAAAUGUGUGCCAUUGUGCCUUGUACCAAGGGGUUGGGAGCAUUCACCAAAGCCUCCUUCAGUACUCUGGACCAGUGCUUGGGAUCUUUCAUAAUUCCUGUUUCUCCCUGACCAAGUGACUUUGCAUCAAGAGAGUGCUACUGUCCUGUGUCAGCGAGGCCAGACUGCAGCAGUAUUCCUGGAGACUACCUGGAAACUGAUCCUCAGCCUGAUAAUCAAGGUUUGGCUGGCUCAAUGCCAUCCAGAGCCUCCCUAUUGGGGUGAGUGGCUGACACAAAAUACAAGGAGUAUGCUUUGCCAACACCUUCAGCUAGAUAAGACACUGCAGUGCACACUGUGGAGCCUGUCUACCUCGUGACCAAAGUAUACACCAACUUGAAGCACAAGAGCUAACUGCCCUAUCGCAUACUUCAGACCAGCUAAUGUGGUUCUUCAACCUGGGGACUCAUACAGCUAAGUAUGUGCAACACUGCUCCGUCUCAGAGUCAGAACCUACCAGGGCCUAUGUGGUGGAUAGUCACCACGUUGUCUAGCCUUUACUAUGAGUUUUCAGGAGUUGCUGCCAGACUUCAGUGUACCAAGUAUAUAGGUACACUUCCAAGUAGAUGGAGGUUUAGUUUUGAAAGCCUUGCAUUAGUUUCUGUACUCUUCCUCCUCAAAGGGAUUCUGGCAAUCAUCCUGGGCCUGUUACCUAUCUCCAACACUAGGAACGUCUGUCAGCCAAAGCAUGGAUUUGAAGUUGCUCCCAACGUAAGCCUCACCUUUUAGUAGAAUUGAUGCAUGACUUCACCUAUCAGAUUAAUUCUAGAAACAUCUUUCAAUUGGACAUUGCCUGCAGUGCCAACCGGGAAGUCUUACAUGUUGUAUUGGAGUCAAAUACAUGCAUGUGAGUUUGAGUAUCUUCACUUAGUACAACGUUUAUAAGUUGUUCCUACUUGUCUUUUGUUGGUGGGAAUGGGAAGCUCUACCAGUUUACUGAAUACUUUUAUAUGUGCUUUAUUUUGCCUCUUUAGUUCACAAUUCCUUUUACAAGAACUUCGCCUGCAUUAAUUUGCAUUAACAUGUUCUGAAAACGCUUGUCCUUACAAUAAUGAAGGGGGUUUAUUGCACUGUUAAGUUACUACCCUUGAGGCCCAUAUACUCGUCUUUGAGGUGCCGAGAAACUGUGAAUUUAGUUAUAUAAGAGCAGAAAUUCUCCUUCCAAAAACGAUUCAUAUGACUGUUAAAUCCCUCCUUUCUUUCCUCAUUUUCUGAAACUUUCAUGGCUAUUGUAUCUAGUUGACUGACAGCAUCCGUCUCAAUUGUUUCUGAAAUGUAAAUACCAUAUUUUCUUGCCAGAUAAAGAAAUGUAAAUUACUGUAACCUGAGAUGCUGUAGUUUUUAACCUUCUUUAUCAAGGAAAAAAUUAAAACAUUUGC
ensembl:lincRNA